rnacentral:rRNA from 1 species
GACGAACGCUGGCGGCGUGCUUAACACAUGCAAGUCGAACGGAAAGGCCCUGCUUUUGUGGGGUGCUCGAGUGGCGAACGGGUGGGUAACACGUGAGUAACCUGCCCUUGACUUUGGGAUAACUUCAGGAAACUGGGGCUAAUACCGGAUAGGAGCUCCUGCUGCAUGGUGGGGGUUGGAAAGUUUCGGCGGUUGGGGAUGGACUCGCGGCUUAUCAGCUUGUUGGUGGGGUAGUGGCUUACCAAGGCUUUGACGGGUAGCCGGCCUGAGAGGGUGACCGGCCACAUUGGGACUGAGAUACGGCCCAGACUCCUACGGGAGGCAGCAGUGGGGAAUAUUGCACAAUGGGCGGAAGCCUGAUGCAGCAACGCCGCGUGCGGGAUGACGGCCUUCGGGUUGUAAACCGCUUUCGCCUGUGACGAAGCGUGAGUGACGGUAAUGGGUAAAGAAGCACCGACUAACUACGUG